AUUGAACGAUGGCGGCAGGCCUAACACAUGCAAGUCGAGCGAGCGGCGGACGGGUGAGUAAUGUAUGGGGACUGCCCGAUAGAGGGGGAUAACUACUGGAAACGGUGGCUAAUACCGCAUACUAUCGGAUAACCCAUAUGGGAUUAGCUAGUAGGUGGGGUAAAGGCUCACCUAUGCGACGACCUCGAGCUGGUGUGAGAGGAUGAUCAGCCACACAGUGACUGAGACACGGCCCAGACUCCUACGGAGGCAGCAGUGGGGAAUCUUGCACAAUGGGCGCAAGCCUGAUGCCGCCAGGCCGCGUGUAUGAAGCAGGCCUUAGGGUUGUAAAGUCCUUUCAGCGGGGAGGCGUUACCCGCAGAGGCAGCACCGGCUAACUCCGUGCCAGCAGCCGCGGUAAUUC
rnacentral:rRNA from 1 species